rnacentral:rRNA from 1 species
UACGUAGGCAGCGAGCGUUGUUCGGAGUUACUGGGCGUAAAGGGUGUGUAGGCGGUUUUCUAAGUUUGGUGUGAAAUCUCCCGCUUAACCGGGAGGGUGCGCCGAAAACUGGGAGACUAGAGUGCGGGAAUGGGAGAGUAGAAUUCCUGGUGUAGCGGUGAAAUGCGUAGAUAUCUGGAGGAACACCGGUGGCGAAGGCGGCAUCCUGGACCGGCAUUGAC